rnacentral:tmRNA from 2 species
GGGGGCGAUCGGAUUCGACUGGUUUGCCGCAGGUGAAGGUCGCGUGUCGUGGUUGAUCGGCAGGCCACGUAAAAAGCUGAUCAAACAAUAACUGCAACUCCUAAAAGUUUUGCAAUGGUUGCCUAAUAGGCUUCCCCGGUCAAGAAAUCCCUGUCUGAGGAGUUCGAAGACCGGUCACAAACUCAGACUGGCUUCAAGUCAUUGUUGACUACGCUUGAAGUAAGAUUCGUUGUGAACCGCUCUGCCGGCGAGGUUGUCGUACAUCGCAAAGGCAGCUAAGACCAAACGCACGACUACACACGUAGAAGCCCCACUUCAGGACUCACAGGACGCGGGUUCAAUUCCCGCCGCCUCCAUCC